rnacentral:rRNA from 1 species
AACCGCGGUUAUACGAAAGGCCUAAGUAGAUGGGUUACGGCAUAAAGAGUGGUUAAAAUAUUAACCCUACUAAAGUUAAAUUCUCUCCUAGUCAUUUAUAAACCUACGAGACCCAGAAACACAAUUACGAAAGUAACUUUAUCCCUUUGACUCCACGAAAGCCAGGACA